AUCGAAGUACCUUUAGAAAUUUAUCGAUUUGCUUCUCUACUUUACAUCUGAAUUAUUUGAAUCUUUCAAAUUUUUAGAUUUGUAUCUCACAUACUUACCCAUACCAUAAUUGAUCAUCGAUAAAGGUAACAAAAUAGAGACCACUUCCUCUGUUAGCAUAUCAUAUAAGCUACACACAUCAAAUGUAUAUUAGGAUAAGUAUCUCAGUGAUCUUUUUUUUCUUUUCCCACAAG
rnacentral:lncRNA from 1 species